GUUCGGCUGGUGUAGUGGUUAUCACAUCUUGCUCACAUCUAAUGGUAGAAAUACCUGGGUCUCUUCCAAGAAGGUGGCAGGUUCGAUCCCUGCGUCGAACA